UGGGGAAUAUUGGACAAUGGGGGCAACCCUGAUCCAGCAAUGCCGCGUGUGUGAAGAAGGCCCUAGGGUUGUAAAAGCACUUUCAAUUGGGAAGAAAGUUCCGGGUUAAUAACCCGUGGACCAUGACGGUACCUUUAGAAGAAGCACCGGCUAACUCCGUGCCAGCAGCCGCGGUAAUACGGAGGGUGCGAGCGUUAAUCGGAAUUACUGGGCGUAAAGCGCGCGUAGGCGGUUUGGUAAGUCAGAUGUGAAAGCCCCGGGCUCAACCUGGGAACUGCAUUUGAUACUGCCUGACUAGAGUAUGGUAGAGGGAAGUGGAAUUCCACAUGUAGCGGUGAAAUGCGUAGAGAUGUGGAGGAACACCAGUGGCGAAGGCGGCUUCCUGGACCAAUACUGACGCUGAGGUGCGAAAGCGUGGGGAGCAAA
rnacentral:rRNA from 1 species